UACGGGGGGAGCAAGCGUUGUUCGGAUUUACUGGGCGUAAAGGGCGCGUAGGCGGCCAGCACAAGUCAGUUGUGACAUCUCCGAGCUUAACUCGGAAAGGUCAACUGAUACUGUGCGGCUAGAGUGCGGAAGGGGCAACUGGAAUUCUUGGUGUAGCGGUGAAAUGCGUAGAUAUCAAGAGGAACACCUGCGGCGAAGGCGGGUUGCUGGGCCGACACUGACGCUGAGGCGCGAAAGCCAGGGGAGCGAACGGG
rnacentral:rRNA from 1 species